rnacentral:rRNA from 1 species
GACGAACGCUGGCGGCGUGCUUAACACAUGCAAGUCGAACGGAAAGGCCCUGCUUUUGUGGGGUGCUCGAGUGGCGAACGGGUGAGUAACACGUGAGUAACCUGCCCUUGACUUUGGGAUAACUUCAGGAAACUGGGGCUAAUACCGGAUAGGAGCUCCUGCUGCAUGGUGGGGGUUGGAAAGUUUCGGCGGUUGGGGAUGGACUCGCGGCUUAUCAGCUUGUUGGUGGGGUAGUGGCUUACCAAGGCUUUGACGGGUAGCCGGCCUGAGAGGGUGACCGGCUACACUGGGACUGAGAUACGGCCCAGAGUCCUAGGGGAGGCAGCAGUGGGGAAUAUUGCACAAUGGGCGGAAGCCUGAUGCAGCAACGCCGCGUGCGGGAUGUCGGCCUUCGGGUUGUAAACCGCGUUCGCCUGUGACGAAGCGUGAGUGACGGUAAUGGGUAAAGAAGCACCGGCUAACUACGUG